UACAGAGGUCUCAAGCGUUGUUCGGAUUCAUUGGGCGUAAAGGGUGCGUAGGUGGUGGGGUAAGUCGGAUGUGAAAUCCCGGGGCUCAACCCCGGAACUGCAUUCGAUACUGCCUUGCUCGAGUACUGGAGAGGAGACUGGAAUUUACGGUGUAGCAGUGAAAUGCGUAGAUAUCGUAAGGAAGACCAGUGGCGAAGGCGGUCUGCUGGGCAGUUUCUGACACUGAUGCGCGACAGCGUGGGGAGCAAACAGG
rnacentral:rRNA from 1 species